rnacentral:rRNA from 1 species
ACGCUCGACACCUACUGGAGGCAGCAGUGGGGAAUAUUGCACAAUGGGGGAAACCCUGAUGCAGCAACGCCGCGUGAAGGAAGACGGUUUUCGGAUUGUAAACUUCUGUUCUUAGUGAAGAUAGUGACGGUAGCUAAGGAGCAAGCCACGGCUAACUACGUGCCACAGCCGCGGUAAUCUGAGCGGGCUGGCAAGGC